UUCACCGGCAAGCAUUUUGAAGACAAAUUCUCAUCCAACUUCCAUUCUUUUCCUUCUUCAAUUUUCAGAGAACAUUUAAGAGAGAGUUUGUAAGAAGAAGAGGAAUUUUACUAGAAUUUUGAAGUUGAAGAAGAGGAGGAGAACUCAAGCAAAGUGUAUCCAUGGCUGAAUUUUGGUUCAUUCUGCACAUCACUGGUUUUUAAUUCGGUUUGAACACUUCAAAAUGAAUUAAGAGAAAACAGGGCAGUUGGUUUUCACUCGAAAUCAGAAGGUCUCUGGUUUUUCUUGUAUUUCAGAGGGUACCAGUAGCGUUAGGAUCUCUAUUUUAUAUGGGACAAGUUAAAGAGAUCGUGUGCACGCGAUUCUGGAAGUGGUUCUGUUUCGAGGGUUAUCUGAGUUUAUGCAUGGGAAAUCAGAUUUACAUGUCUUCAGGUCGAGAAGAAUUAAAUCGAACUUAUAGACCAAGGAUCUAGCUCAAGACGGUAGAGAUCAAGUUCCCAGUGCCUGAUAGACUGCCUUAGUCUGCUGUAGCUCCAUUAUCGAUUGCCAGUACGUGUUUUGAGUUGGGCAUAGAGUCUGUUGUGUUAUGAUGUAUAUACACCCUUGUUGUGUAAAUUUUUGUUGGUUAUAUUUUGAUUAAGGUGUCUUUAGGUUUACUCGUGAAAUUGAUAAAUUUUGAGGUACACUUCAUGUAUGUGUUUCACUAGCCUAGGAUCCGCUGUGUUUUGUUGCAUGUAUAAUAGUUUAUAUACUAGAUUGGCAAGUUCAUGACAUGAAAGUUUUAAGCAGAGUCGACAGAUACAGGUACAGAAAAGCGUUGUUCGUCGGCUUCACGCCAUCUUUCGGUCUAAGAUAGGAGGUAGUCCGGGAGGGGGUGUGACAAUUUUGAUAACGACUUACCUCAAAUUACAUCUUUUCACCAUAAUAUCUUCUAUUAAAAUACCAUGCAAUUUAGAAUAAAAAGGUCGU